AAAUUGAAGAGUUUGAUCAUGGCUCAGAUUGAACGCUGGCGGCAGGCCUAACACAUGCAAGUCGAACGGUAACAGGAAGCAGCUUGCUGCUUUGCUGACGAGUGGCGGACGGGUGAGUAAUGUCUGGGAAACUGCCUGAUGGAGGGGGAUAACUACUGGAAACGGUGGCUAAUACCGCAUAAUGUCGCAAGACCAAAGAGGGGGACCUUCGGGCCUCUUGCCAUCAGAUGUGCCCAGAUGGGAUUAGCUUGUUGGUGAGGUAACGGCUCACCAAGGCGACGAUCCCUAGCUGGUCUGAGAGGAUGACCAG
rnacentral:rRNA from 3 species